rnacentral:lncRNA from 1 species
AUUAUCGCACAUUUCAUGAGUCAAGUAUGUAUUCUGUUAAAUGCAUUACUUUCUUGAUGCUCUAUUUCUUGUAUAAGCAUGCAGUUUCCUUGUAUAAGAGUUUCUAGUUUGUUUAUUUAAUCUUGUGCAGAUAUCCUUUUGGUGAUUUCUCAUUUUGGAAUUCCAGACAAUUGUUGAGUCUUAACUUUGAAAGUGGAUUGUCAAUAUCUUUAUUCCCGUUUUGACGAAUAGCAAUUUCAAUUUUCAAGUGCCAUGAAAUGGCUAAAGAUGUUACGCUUGUGAUAAGAUACUUUUUUAUAUUUAUUAUUCAUCAAUGAUUUUGUUUUAGUGCUUAUUUUGUUGGCAUAAAUUUCUAUAUUCAAGGUUAUACGGUUGUUGCUUCAUCGAUUUCUAAAUUGAAGAUAAUUUGUAUACCAUUUAGUUAAAUUAGCAUUGCACUGUAACUGAGUGAGAUUUAGUGGAUGUUAAUUCUGUUAUA